rnacentral:rRNA from 1 species
GUACCGCAUGGUAGUGUGUGAAAAGCUCCGACGGUACAGGAUGGGCCCGCGUCCGAUUAGCCAGUUGGCGGGGUAACGGCCCACCAAAGCGACGAUCGGUAGCCGGCCUGAGAGGGCGGACGGCCACAUUGGGACUGAGACACGGCCCAGACUCCUACGGGAGGCAGCAGUAGGGGAUAUUGCACAAUGGGGGAAACCCUGAUGCAGCGACGCCGCGUGGGUGAAGAAGUAUUUCGGUAUGUAAAGCCCUAUCAGCAGGGACGAUAAUGACGGUACCUGAGUAAGAAGCCCCGGCUAACUACGUGCCAGCAGCCGCGGUAAUACGUAGGGGGCAAGCGUUAUCCGGAUUUACUGGGUGUAAAGGGGGCGCAGACGGAAAUGCAAGCCAGAUGUGAAAGCCCCGGGCUCAGCCCGGGGAGUGCAUUUGGAACUGUGUAUCUAGAGUACUGGAGAGGUAAGCGGAAUUCCUGGUGUAGCGGUGAAAUGCGUAGAUAUCAGGAAGAACACCGGUGGCGAAGGCGGCUUACUGGACAGAGACUGACGUUGAGGCCCGAAAGCGUGGGGAGCAAACAGGAUUAGA